ensembl:misc_RNA Metazoa_SRP Metazoan signal recognition particle RNA
GCCACACACAGAAGCGUGUACCUGCAGUCCCAGCUACUCGGGAGGCUGUGGCAAGAGGACUGCUUGAGCCCAGAGGGUGGAUUGAGCCCAGGAGUUGUGGGCUGUAGUGUGCUAUGCCAGUGGGGUGUCCACAGUAAGUCUGGCAUCAAUAUGGUGACCUCCUGGGAGCAAGGGGCCACCAGGUUGCUUAAGGAGGGGUGAACUAACUCAGGUCAAAAACAGAGCAGUUCAAAACUCCCGUUCUGAUCGGUAAUGGAACCACACCUGUGAAUAAUCACACUCCAGGGUGGGCAACAUAGUGAGACCCCCAUCU